rnacentral:lncRNA from 1 species
UUAUUUCUUGUACUCGUAAGUUUAGCCACCAAAUAUAUGCUUAGCCGCUGCUGCAACCUCACCACUUAAGCUUGCCUCACCUAAUAAGCUUUGCUAGUCUUGAUACCUUUGAAAAUGAGAUUGCUGAGUCCCCUGGGGCUCACAGAUUACUACAACACCAGUUGCAGGUACAGGUAAAGGUUAUUUGACGCGAGCGCGUUGAUUGUUCAUUUGGAGUUGCUUCUUCUUCUUCAUCAUCGAUCAAGGAUGGG